UUAAAUGCUGUUAUCAGAGACAGUGUCUUUCUGGGUGUUCAUGCUUUGCUCUGCAUGUGGACAGUGAAGUUUGUUUUAAAGGCAUAGAAGCUGCUCCUGUGUGCACGAGCAGGAAGUGAGUGUGCUUAUGCUGAUAGCUGACUCUCUGGAAGCCCAUUAACUACUGCUGAUCUGCAAGUGCCUGCAUGUGCGUGCUGAAGAAUUGUGUGAAAAGGAGACAGUAAUUGAGUACUCAUUGUGUGUGUCAGUGUAUGAGAGUAUUCAUUGAAUGUCAGUGAGUAUUGACGGUGUGUCAGUGAGUGAGAACUCACAGUGUGUGUAUUAGUGAGUGAAUAUUCACAGUUUGUCAGUGAUUGAGAGUAGUCAAACCAUGCCUUUUAUCUCUGUGUCGGGAGCAGAAGGCAGGUACAACUGCCAGAUUGAAGGACUCAUUCCCUCGCUCUUGUACUCGUCUGAGUGUUUGAUGUGAGUGUUUUUAUGUACACGCUGUCCUGCACAGCUGCAUUGCUAAGGGGCGUGGAGCUCAGAUGCACUGUUUUUCUCGCCAAAGCAGCCUGUGUGGUCAUGCCAUGCUGACCAUCCAUGCCCAGAGACAGACUGAUAAGUAAAGGUCCGGGGGGUCAUGCCAUGCCGACAGUCCACACUCAGAGACCUGCUUAACAUGCUUACCAGGGCGCUAUACAAGCUGUCCUUCAGCCACAGCUGAGACACAUUCCCAGUUUGCAGUCCGUCUUCCUCGAACCGCCUUUGUCUAUUUUCAGUUUUGUUUAGUUUUUGGUAUUUUUGGAAGAUGUUCCUCAUAGUGGUAAUUUCAGCACUGUGGUUUAUGGUUUAUGUAUGUGUGUUACAACCCUGUUUCCAAAAAAAAUUGAAUGCUGUGUAAAAUAUAAAUAAAAACAGAAUGCAGUGAUUUACAAAUCAUAAAAAUCUAUAUUUAAUUGAAAAUAGAACAAAGACAUCAAAUGUUGUAACAGAAAUUUUACUGUUUUAUGACAAAUAUAUGCUCAAUUUGAAUUUGAUGCCAGCAACACGUUUUAAAAAAGUUGAGACAGGGGCAACAAACGACGGAGGCUCUUUUGUCUCCAGAACCACCUCAAUGGCCCCAGGUCUGUGUGCCUAGCUGAUGUAGAGAGCAGUAGGUCUGUCUGCCUAGCUGAUGUAGAGUGCAGUAGGUCUGUUUGCCUAGCUGAUGUAGAGUGCAGUAGGUCUGUUUGCCUAGCUGAUGUAGAGAGCAGUAGGUCUGUUUGCCUAGCCGAUGUAGAGAGUAGUAGGUCUGUUUGCCUAGCUGAUGUAGAGUGCAGUAGGUCUGUCUGCCUAGCCGAUGUAGAGAGUAGUAGGUCUAUUUGCCUAGCUGAUGUAGAGUGCAGUAGGUCUGUCUGCCUAGCCGAUAUAAAGAGUAGUAGGUCUGUUUGCCUAGCCGAUGUAGAGUGCAGUAGAUCUGUCUGCCUAGCCGAUGUAGAGUGAGUAGGUCUGUCUGCCUAGCCGAUGUAGAGUGCAGUAGGUCUGUCUGCCUAGCCGAUGUAGAGUGCAGUAGGUCUGUCUGCCUAGCCGAUGUAGAGAGUAGUAGGUCUGUCUGCCUAGCCGAUGUAGAGAAUAGUAGGUCUGUUUGCCUAGCCAAUGUAGAGUGCAGUAGGUCUGUCUGCCUAGCCAAUGUAGAGUGCAGUAGGUCUGUCUGCCUAGCCGACUUAGAGUAUAUUUGGGAAACUCAUGAAGGGCUACCGCUGGCUCAGCCAUGGGAGAGAUCCGUGAGAGAUAGGGAUCCCAAAGCUUAGUUCACAACUGACCCAGGGGACUGGAAUCUGGGGGAGUAUGAAACCUGCUGGUGACAGCUGUUUGUGUCCUUGUCACAGUGCUGGCACCUUUGUCUCUGAGCGCUGCCAGAGAGAGGGGAGGUGUCCCUGGCACGCAGCUCCAUGUGGCACUCUGCCUGUUGUGGAGUGUUUAGUGUCAUGAUGUGUUUGUGUUUGGGGACUCGUCCAUGCUGCACACAUCCAGGGUUGGUGUAGCACCGUGUCACUGGGUCAAGCGUUGAUUUCUGUGAAUUUCUUUGAAGGCAGGAAGAACAACAUUUAAUAGCAAAGUGGGGGUGGGGGUCUUAUAAAACCACAGGGGCUUGUUUAUGGGGCUGGAGUUUUUUGUUGCUCUAGGUAUGAAGAUGCCACAAAUAACCUCUAGUAGCCCCUUCCUCUACUGCUGCCUGUGGUGUGGUGUCAUAAAGGACGAUGCCACUGGUUUGGAAGUGCGCCUGCUAUUUUGAAAUUUUACUGGAAUCUUGUAUCCUGGAGCAGCCGAUAAGUGGGCCGGCAUCCAUUUUGGGGAGACAGCCCAGUGAGGCGCCUCGUGAGCAGAUUUCUGGUCCUUCAUGCUUAUCGAGGCCUGAUAUACACCCUAUUCCUGGGGUAGCACAUUCCUUCCAGCUGAGGCUUCCAGUUGGCCUCUGAAGUAGGCAGAGAUUAGAUUGCGGCCUGUCCAACAGGCUAAACUGGGAGCCAGUGGUGGAGACGGCCUUCAAGGAAGCAUGUUGCAGCUUGAAGGACAUGCUGACAGUCUUCUGAGAUCUUGGCUAGCUGGGAAGAGCAGGCCUCAGUGUGCUCCACUCGCAUCUCUUACAGUCUACUUUCUGGCCUAUAUUCUAAACGGUAGACUGGCAUUCAUAUAAUGUGAUUCCGAUUUGCUGAAUGAGGAUGACGGCUGACCAUCUUCUGACCACUUAUUCAGGGUUGCCGGGAGACCUGAAUCCCAUCCACAAGGCAAAUGAACAUCGUGGAUGGGAUGUGCACCCGGAACACGUCACAGAGAAGCACACACAUUUUCUGCAAAUCUCAGAGCAUGGCAGUCCCAUUGUCUCAUUGCUUCAGUCGGCUGUGUUUGUUUAACUGCUCUGAGGAUAUGGUUUGUGGGAUUAGUGACCUUGAGCAAAGCAGUGUGCACUGACCUUGGCCUCAUUGUGCUGCUCUCAGCCGCUCUGCUUAAGACAGCAUUACAGCCUUCGGUUCGAUCGAUAGCUCAGUGCACAGAAGAGGAAGAAGGUAGUCGAUGGAAGCUUAAUGGC